rnacentral:rRNA from 1 species
UGUCGUCAGCUCGUGUCGUGAGAUGUUAGGUUAAGUCCUGCAACGAGCGCAACCCCUGUCCUUAGUUGCCAUCAUUAAGUUGGGCACUCUAGGGAGACAAACCCUCUCUGAGGGUGGGAAGGUGGGGACGACGUCAAGUCAGGAUGGCCCUUACGGCUUGGGCUGCACACGUGCUACAAUGCCCGGCACAGAGGGAAGCAAUACCGUGAGGUGGAGCGAAUCCUUAAAACCGGGCCCAGUUCGGAUUGUAGUCUGCAACUCGACUACAUGAAGUUGGAAUCGCUAGUAAUGGCGUAUCAGCUACGACGCCGUGAAUACGUUCCCGGGCCUUGUACACACCGCCCGUCACGUCAUGAAAGCCGGUUUUGCCCGAAGUGUGUUUGCCAACCAGCAAUGGAGGCGGCGCCCUAAGGUGAGGCUGGUGAUUGGGACGAAGUCGUAACAAGGUAGCCGUAGGGGAACCUGCGGCUGGAUCACCUCCUUU